GGCCCGCGCUCACCUUGAGGCCGCGGAUCUCGCCGAGGUGCAGCUGCAGGCGGCGGUUCACCUCGCGGAUGAGGUUGCUGUGGUCCAGCAUCGCGCUCACCUUCUCCGCCUCGGCGCGCCGCAGGCUGCGGAUCAGCUCCUCCUUGCUCCACUGCAGCAGCUCCUCGUCCGACACUUUGGACAGGUCCUCCACCGGCGCGGGCGGGGCCGCGGACGAGCCGGCCGGGGCUGGGGAACAACUUUCCGCCGCCGCCGCAGCCGCCGCCGCGCCUCCGGCCGCCUUCGACAUGGAGAAGAGCUAACCUUGGGUAGCUGCUGUUCCUUCAGUCUGAGCCACACACUCAGCCACCCCAGCCAACCUGAAGAUCUGCAGCAUGAAGCAGAGCUAUGCUCACAGACUCACAGAUCUGUGUGUGAGAAAACAAGACUGUUGUUUAAGCUACCGACUUUUGGGGAGAUUUAUUGUGCAGCAUUACUAAUGCAAUAGUUAGCAGAUACAACUCCCCUGCCUAAAUCCCUUUGGGGGCAUCUCAGCACCUUUCUGUGGAGUGAAGCUACAUUUCUUAGCAGAGCAUGUAAGAUGGACACAGUCUGAUGCUUGCUUACUUUUUCAGCUCCAACUCCUACCAUACUUUGCCUGCCUCAUAUUUCAUACUUUUUCAGUUCUAAACUGCCUUGUAGCUCCCUGUCAGCAUUCAAUAUACCUCCGUACCACACUGAUGCUCUUUUCUCAUGCAUGAAAUGCCUUCCUUGCCUUAUCCUUCUGAAUAACUUCCAACCAGAUCCUUCAAAAGGCAUCAUCUUAUCCAGAGUGCUGGCAUCAGCCCACAUUUCCCUGGCAGAGGCAAAGGUACUAUGGCAGAAAUGGCCAGGGAAGGGUUUAUCUAACCACCAGGAGUACGCAAAGAAGAGAGGUCCAGCCAGCCUGCCUCUCAGAUUGUUAAGAUGCCAGGUGUCUUUUGGCUCAUGGAAACAGCUGUUCUGCCCCCUCCCGAACCCUAGACUCACAGCUACACUCUAUGGGGAAAGGACAAAGGGAAGGCUGCUUCCUGAAGAGAUCUCCAUAUGGAAGAGCUGCAGAUCACAAACAACCCACACAGCCAUUGUAACGCCUGCUUGCCUGGUCACUUGUGUUUCUGAGAAGCCAUAACUCCAAGAAUAGCGAAGGGAAGAAAAUGCCAAAAAGCAGGGGCUGCCUAACAGGUCUGACUUGCAAGGCAAACUCCUGGCAGGCCUGGCCAGCUUCUGCUUGUCCCAGUGCAAUCCCACCCCCAUAGGAUCUGGAAUUUUUCAGUCCCUUUGCUAAGAUUCCUGAAAUAGACUUAAUGAAGAGCCUCAGAAGUGAAAAUUCCUCUUCACACAUUUGCUCAAGAAGAUUGCUUUUCUCCUAACACAGAAAUCAGCUGCCUUGAGGAUGUGCAAGUUUGAUUAGGGAGUCUGCUCUUGCCUAUUUCUCAAACGGUUCAGGCCCUGACAGAAUCAGUGUCACCCCUAAGGUAUUUGCUUCAAAUGCCCCCCAUAUAAUCAAAACUUAUAAAUGAUAAACCAAAAGUUGAGGUACACUCAUUGCCUUUCAGAAUGAAACCUUCCAAGGGGCCAUGAUCAUAUUGUGACUGGACAAGAACUAUCAUGGAUGAGGCACAUCAUCUUUUGGAACCAUCUAUGGAACAGAUAUUAUUAUUCCAUUUUGCGGAAGAGGAAUCUGAGGCUCAGGCCAGACAGAUGCAGCUAACGUUGAGUGGCAUCCUGAUGAUCACCUUCAUCACAAAAGGAAGGAGUGCUCUGAGGACUGUAGGUGGCUCUCAGAACCCUGACCUCCACGGCAGCCAUCAAGGAGUGGCAAAGGGGGUCCACAGUGGCAUAUGCAGUGAGAUCCAAGUUUUAGGCAUUCGGAGUAGAGCAAGCCACGAAUGAGAACAGGUUCUGAAAGUGACAGAAAAGGAGUCACUUUUUUGGUUCCAUAUGAACUUUAAGGUAGUUUUUUCCCAGUUCUGUGAAGAAAGUCAUUGGUAGCUUGAUGGGGAUGGCAUUGAAUCUAUAAAUUACCUUGGACAGUAUGGCCAUUUUCAUGAUAUUGAUUCUUCCUACCCAUGAGCAUGGAAUGUUCUUCCAUUUGUUUGUAUCCUCUUUUAUUUCCUUGAGCAGUGGUUUGUAGUUAUCCUUGAAGAGGUUCUUCACAUCCCUUGUAAGUUGGAUUCCUAGGUAUUUUAUUCUCUUUGAAGCAAUUGUGAAUGGGAGUUCACUCAUGAUUUGGCUCUCUGUUUGUCUGUUGUUAGUGUAUAAGAAUGCUUGUGAUUUUUGUACAUUGAUUUUGUAUCCUGAGACUUUGCUGAAGUUGCUUAUCAGCUUAAGGAGAUUUUGGGCUGAGACAAUGGGGUUUUCUAGAUAUACAAUCAUGUCAUCUGCAAACAGGGACAAUUUGACUUCCUCUUUUCCUAAUUGAAUACCCUUUAUUUCCUUGUCCUGCCUAAUUGCCCUGGCCAGAACUUCCAACACUAUGUUGAAUAGGAGUGGUGAAAGAGGACAUCCCUGUCUUGUGCCAGUUUUCACAGGGAAUGCUUCCAGUUUUUGCCCAUUCAGUAUGAUAUUGGCUGUGGGUUUGUCAUAGAUAGCUCUUAUUAUUUUGACAUACGUCCCAUCAAUACCUAAUUUAUUGAGAGUUUUUAGCAUGAAGCGUUGUUGAAUUUUGUCAAAGGCCUUUUCUGCAUCUAUUGAGAUAAUCAUGUGGUUUUUGUCUUUGGUUCUGUUUAUAUGCUGGAUUACAUUUAUUGAUUUGUGUAUAUUGAACCAGCCUUGCAUCCCAGGGAUGAAGCCCACUUGAUCAUGGUGGAUAAGCUUUUUGAUGUGCUGCUGGAUUCGGUUUGCCAGUAUUUUAUUGAGGAUUUUUGCAUCAAUGUUCAUCAGGGAUAUUGGUCGAAAAUUCUCUUUUUUGGUUGUAUCUCUGCCCGGCUUUGGUAUCAGGAUGAUGCUGGCCUCAUAAAAUGAGUUAGGGAGUAUUCCCUCUUUUUCUAUUGAUUGGAAUAUCACCAAGUCCAUCCUAAGCCAAAAGAACAAAGCUGGAGGCAUCACACUACCUGACUUCAAACUAUACUACAAGGCUACAGUAACCAAAACAGCAUGGUACUGGUACCAAAACAGAGAUAUAGAUCAAUGGAACAGAACAGAGCCCUCAGAAAUAACACCGCAUAUCUACAAUUAUCUGAUCUUUGACAAACCUGACAAAAACAAGCAAUGGGGAAAGGAUUCCCUAUUUAAUAAAUGGUGCUGGGAAAACUGGCUAGCCAUAUGUAGAAAGCUGAAACUGGAUCCCUUCCUUACACCUUAUACAAAAAUCAAUUCAAGAUGGAUUAAAGACUUAAACGUUAGACCUAAAACCAUAAAAACCCUAGAAGAAAACCUAGGCAUUACCAUUCAGGACAUAGGCAUAGGCAAGGACUUCAUGUCUAAAACACCAAAAGCAGUGGCAACAAAAGCCAAAAUUGACAAACGGGAU
rnacentral:lncRNA from 1 species